rnacentral:rRNA from 1 species
GACGAACGCUGGCGGUGUGCUUAACACAUGCAAGUCGAACGGCAAGGCCCUGCUUUUGUGGGGUGCUAGCGUGGCGAGCGGGUGUGUAACACGUGUGUAACCUGCCCUUUACUUGGAGAUAACGUCGGGAAACGGGGGCUUAUACCGGAUACGAGCUCCUGCUGCAGGGGGGGGGUAGGAGAGGUUCGGCGGUUGGGGAUGGACUCGGGGCUUAUCAGCUUGUUAGGGUGGUAGUGGCUCACCAUGGCUUUGACGGGUAGCCGGCCUGGGAGGUGGACCGGCGACAUUGGUACUGCGAGACGGCCCAGAGUCCUACGGUAGGCAGCAGUGGAGAAUGUGGCGCAGUGGGCGGGAGCCUGAUGCAGCGACGCCGCGGGCGGGAUGACGGCCUUCGGGUGGUAAACGGCUUUCGCCGGUGAGGAGGCGUGAGUGACGGUAAUUGGUAAAGAAGCACCGGCUAACUACGUG